rnacentral:rRNA from 1 species
AUGUUGGAUUGUGGUUUGUAUGACUUGGGGUUUUCGGGUCCUAAGUUCACUUGGUGUAAUAGACAGGAUCCCAAUAGUAAUGUCCGGUGUCUCUUGAAUAGAGCCAUGGCUAACAGUGACUUCUCCAACUUAUUUGCUUGCAAUGUGGAGAAUAUUAUUGCCACCACAUCUGAUCACUAUCCGGUUCUUGUUCGGCUUGGGGCAGAUCUUCAGGUGCACCGCUUGGUCCCUGUGCAGCAAGGUUUCAAGUUUGAAGCGAUGUGGCUACGGGCGACUGAUUACCGAGACACUCUCGAGCAGGCUUGGUCGGCGGGCAGAGAUGGCAUUUUGUCUUUGAGCUCGACCUGGACAAACCUCAAGGGGGUGGCUAGCUCUCUGCGUACUUGGAGCAAGGAGGCAUUCGGCUCUGUUCGUAAGAAAAUUGGGAAGAUGGAACGUCGCCUUGCUACCAUUAGGGCGUCACCGCCCUCCCCGUCUUCGCUUGCUGAGGAGAAACACAUUGAGUGUCAGUUAUGCGAGUUGUUUGAGCGAGAAGAUAUCAUGGAGAGACAGCGGUCUGAAGUGGAUUGGCUCAAGGCCGGUGACCGUAGCACGGACUUUUUCCAAGCUCGAGCGACAGCCAGACGGAGAACAAAUAAGAUUCAUUCGCUUUUGCGGGAUGAUGGCUCGGUCUACUCUACUCAAAGUCAGAUAAAAGGAUUGGUGCAGUCCUAUUAUGAGAAGCUCUUCACAUCCAAACCUCGCUCCUCUGCUGAUGAGGUUCUGUAG